rnacentral:rRNA from 1 species
AUUGAACGCUGGCGGCAGGCCUAACACACGCAAGUCGAGCGGAUGAAGAGGGCUUGCUCUCUGAUUCAGCGGCGGACGGGUGAGUAAUGCCUAGGAAUCUGCCUGGUAGUGGGGGACAACGUUUCGAAAGGAACGCUAAUACCGCAUACGUCCUACGGGAGAAAGUGGGGGAUCUUCGGACCUCACGCUAUCAGAUGAGCCUAGGUACGAUUAGCUAGUUGGUGAGGUAAAGGCUCACCAAGGCGACGAUCGUUAACUGGUCUGAGAGGAUGAUCAGUCACACUGGAACUGAGACACGGUCCAGACUCCUACGGGAGGCAGCAGUGGGGAAUAUUGGACAAUGGGCGAAAGCCUGAUCCAGCCAUGCCGCGUGUGUGAAGAAGGUCUUCGGAUUGUAAAGCACUUUAAGUUGGGAGGAAGGGCGGUAAGUUAAUACCUUGCUGUUUUGACGUUACCGACAGAAUAAGCACCGGCUAACUUCGUGCCAGCCGCCGCAGUAACAC